AAGCUCGUAGUUGAAUUUCGGGAUCAAUAUACCGGUCGUGCCUCAGGUAUGAACUGGUCUUAUUGGUUCCUCCCUUCUGACGAAUCAUGAUGUCAUUAAUUUGAUGUCGUGGAGAAUCAGGACUGUUACUUUGAAAAAAUUAGAGUGUUUAAAGCAGGCUAACGCUUGAAUACAUUAGCAUGGAAUAAUGAGAUAGGACGUUCGAUCCUAUUUUGUUGGUUUCUAGGAUCGACGUAAUGAUUAAUAGGGAUAGUUGGG
rnacentral:rRNA from 1 species